rnacentral:rRNA from 1 species
UACAGAGGUCUCAAGCGUUGUUCGGAUUCAUUGGGCGUAAAGGGUGUGUAGGUGGCGCCGUAAGUCGGGGUGUGAAAUUUCGGAGCUUAACUCCGAAACUGCAUUCGAUACUGCGGUGCUUGAGGACUGGGAGAGGAGACUGGAAAUUCAUGGUGUAGCAGUGAAAUGCGUAGAGAUCAUGAGGAAGACCAGUGGCGAAGGCGGGUCUCUGGACAGUUCCUGACACUGGAGAACACGGAAAAGCC